ensembl:lncRNA
AUUUAAUUGAAAUAUGAACCAGUGAUUUUUUUGAUUGCUGAUUCCAAGAGAGUCUUUGUGGAAAUCCUGUUUGGCUUUUUGUUAUUUUAAUUCUCUUCUCUGUUUUCCAGAACAGUUCUCCACAGUCGCUGUCCACAUGGGUCAGUGGGACCAAGAAGCACUCUGCUAAUGUGUGGACUCUGACCAGCAACAUCCAGCAAGACCCAGACAGCGUUUUCUAUCUCCCAGCUGGAGUUUUUGUUUGUCUGUGACUGGAGAGUCAGAUUUUUGUUGAGCUUCACACUUGCAGAGGUUAAUACACUCUACUGAUCCCUGAUGGGAGAAUCAUCAAUUUUGGCAACAAAGAAGCCUGGUGGAUGUUUGUUUACAGUCUGAUGAUGGGACAUCAUGCUCUGCAUCUUCAAAGUUUGCCUCCUCAUUAUUAUUCAUACCCAGUAAUGUGAAGUAUGCUCAUAUCUACUAUAACUGAACCAACCUGGUGCUCUUCAUUUAUGGAGGCUGUUGAGUCUGAAUGUUGGAUGUUGUGUAUCUCGUGUUCUCUGGGCUUUGUUGUCCUCAGUCUUUUCACAGGAUCAGAAAACAAAACCAGGAGGCGCGUACAUGUUUCUUCUCCAUGAUGUUUCUUCAAAUGUUUCUUCUGGAUGAUGAUAAGACUGACACGGGAUGCCACCUUUGGUCUUGUGAUGAAGCAAAGCUCAGGAAGAAGUGGGAUUAAAUGGUACCCACAUGUGUGCUGCUGAGAAGGAUGUACAGGGGCACCUGCAGCCAAAUCCAAGCCUCAGAGCAGCAGUUUGUGCUCACAGAUGGUGACGGUGUGGAGAGACGGUGGUGUUUCCUCAGAAGAACCAGCAGAGUCACAAAGGACACCAGUCCAUCUCACCACCUUGACUUGCUGACUGAUGCUCGUCUGCACUGCACAGAGGAAAUCAGCUGACCGAGGAGUGUUUCUGAGUGAGGGGGGAGGAGUCAUCAUCCAGGUAAAGUGACGUAGAUCCGUGGACACACUUGUCUCCCCUUUAAAGGAGACGAUCCAAGUCAUCCUUAAAUAUGGGCAGCAUAUCAGUCUUGGACUGUCUAACCUGCAGCACUGAAUGACCACCACACAUGAGCAUGUUCCUGCAACAUUCAGCAUCUGAUCCUUCAUCUGUGUGCUUCUGCUUUUGUGUCACAUGUCAAACAGCUGGAGAGGAAACUACACCAGUGUACUGGGAUGUUUCAGCAACACGUGCCAGAUGCUGUUCCUUCAUGGUGACAUCACCAGAGACAGUCCCGCCCACCUCAGGACCUCGCCAUUGAUCAUGAUGAUUAUAAUGAUGACAGCGAGCGGAACUAAGACUGUAAAAAUCCACGACCAGAAUGUUUCUUUCUAAUUAUUAAUGAAUACUGAGAGCCUCUUUCUCUGUUUUGUCUGUUUUGGGGUUGUUUUUUUUACCUCAUUUGUUUCUAACAAAGUUCACAAACUCACACAGUUUACAUUCUGUAUGUUUCCAUCUUUACCAGCCACACUCUAACUGCAUUUAAGAAAAUAAUCCUUAGAAAUCGUCGUUUUUCUCUUUUGUAAUUGAUGAUAAUUCAGUGAAUAUACUGCGCUGCUUCCUUUUAUUGCGUCACACAUUGCUUUAAGUUUUUCAGUGUCCAGUUAUUUUUUACUGCUGUUUGAAUUCUCUGAAUGUUUGACCCUGUAGACUGUUUGAUGGACUGCUUGUCUUCCUGUUUGUUACCGCCGCCUGUUUUUUAAUAAAGAUUUGGAUUUCUGACUUCAAC